UGGCGAGUGGCGAACGGGUGAGUAAUGCAUCGGAACGUGCCCAGUCGUGGGGGAUAACGCAGCGAAAGCUGUGCUAAUACCGCAUACGAUCUCUGGAUGAAAGCGGGGGACUCAGCAAUGGUCCUCGCGCGAUUGGAGCGGCCGAUAUCAGAUUAGCUAGUUGGUGGGGUAAGAGCCCACCAAGGCGACGAUCUGUAGCUGGUCUGAGAGGACGACUAGCCACACUGGAACUGAGACACGGUCCAGACUCC
rnacentral:rRNA from 1 species